ensembl:snoRNA
GGCUUCCUGAUGCUUACCACAGGCUAUAUUGCACUAUAUAGAAAGAGGAGGCAGAGUAAACCUACCCCAUAUACACCUCAGCAGGCCCAGUGCCUGAUGUGUAUUGUGAACAAGAAGACUUGG